GAUAAGAACGCAGCGAAAUGCGAUAAGUAAUGUGAAUUGCAGAAUUCAGUGAAUCAUCGAAUCUUUGAACGCACAUUGCGCCCGCCAGUAUUCUGGCGGGCAUGCCUGUUCGAGCGUCAUUACAACCCUCAGGCCCCCGGGCCUGGCGUUGGGGAUCGGCGGAAGCCCCCUGUGGGCACACGCCGUCCCUCAAAUACAGUGGCGGUCCCGCCGCAGCUUCCAUUGCGUAGUAGCUAACACCUCGCAACUGGAGAGCGGCGCGGCCAUGCCGUAAAACACCCAACUUCUGAAUGUUGACCUCGAAUCAGGUAGGAAUACCCGCUGAACUUAAGCAUAUCAAUAAGCGGAGGA
rnacentral:misc_RNA from 1 species